rnacentral:lncRNA from 1 species
UGAUUAUACACUGGUGACGGUUUACAAAGUGUAACCGAUCUUUACCGCUGAGGAUUUCAAAUUCAAAACCAAUUAAUUUCCUAUUGUUAUUUUCGUGAAAUAUUGGUCGGUUGGUAAUGUUAUAACUUGUCUCUUGGUUUCAUAAGCUAUAUUUUUUGGUAUUAUCAUUAUAAAGACGACGAUGAGUAUAUCCCGUCUUUAGUCUUCAUCUAACCGAUGCCGACAAAUUGUGGUGGAUUGUUUAAAUUGUUGUUUGAAGAUAGAAGUCGAGCUCACCUUCCAUAUGCAUGUAAAGGUUCAAAUCUACAUCCUGAGUUUCAACUAGGCAGUGAUGGCUAUAAAUGAACUACUAGGACCGUUAAGGCCCUGGACAAAUAGUGCGUAUGUUUUUAGAAGACUUCAACAGAACCUUCUUAAAGCUAUAAGAAACAGCAUGCUGCACGUUCAAAAGUUGUUCUUUUAUAUCUAUAUAUUGAUGAAAUCCGAUCUAUCAAGAACCAACAGUUCCAACAGUUCAAGGAGUGACUGAAUUGUAAAUGCCGUCAUAUUCAGAAAUCAACGCCACUUUGCUUAUUUGAAUAUUGUCUGUUUUAACUUUUAUUUAAGUGAUAGACAGAAAAUAA